rnacentral:rRNA from 1 species
ACAGCAGCCGCCACGGGAAUACGUAGGGUGCAAGCGUUAAUCGGAAUUACUGGGCGUAAAGCGUGCGCAGGCGGUUUGUUAAGACAGAUGUGAAAUCCCCGGGCUCAACCUGGGAACUGCAUUUGUGACUGGCAAGCUAGAGUAUGGCAGAGGGGUGUGGAAUUCCGCGUGUAGCAGUGAAAUGCGUAGAGAUGUGGAGGAAUACCGAUGGCGAAGGCAGCCCCCUGGGCCAAUACUGACGCUCAUGCACGAAAGCGUGGGGAGCAAACAGGAUUAGAUACCCCAGUAGUCCCUGUCUCUUAUAC